rnacentral:rRNA from 1 species
UACGUAGGGGGCAAGCGUUGUCCGGAUUUAUUGGGCGUAAAGAGCGUGUAGGCGGCCAUACAGGUCCGUUGUGAAAACUGGAGGCUUAACCUCCAGACGUCGAUGGAAACCGUAUGGCUAGAGUCCGGAAGAGGAGAGUGGAAUUCCUGGUGUAGCGGUGAAAUGCGCAGAUAUCAGGAGGAACACCGGUGGUGUAAACGGCUUUCUGGACCAUAACUGACGCUGAGGCACGAAAGCGUGGGUAGCAAACAGG